CAACGCCGGGCAGGUGGGGCUCGUUAGCCGUGGUAGGCAAUCUGCCUAGGAGAGCAAACUCCGAACAACAAACCCGGGCAGGUGAGGUUCGUUAGCCGUGGUAGGCAAUUCACCUAGGAGAGCAAACUCCGAACAAUAAACCCGGGCAGGUUGGGCUCGUGAGCCGUCAUAGGUAAUACACCUAGGAGAGCAAACUCCGAACAAUAAACCCGGGCAGGUUGGGCUCGUGAGCCGUCAUAGGUAAUACACCUAGGAGAGCAAACUCCGAACAGUAAACCCGGGCAGGUUGGGCUCGUGAGCCGUCAUAGGUAAUACACCUAGGAGAGCAAACUCCGAACAAUAAACCCGGGCAGGUGGAGCUCGUCAGCCGUGGUAGGCAGUCUGCCUAGGAGAGCAAACUCCAAACAAUAAACCCGGGCAGGUGGAGCUCGUCAGCCGUGGUAGGCAGUCUGCCUAGGAGAGCAAACUCCAAACAAUAAACCCGGGCAGGUGGAGCUCGUCAGCCGUGGUAGGCAGUCUGCCUAGGAGAGCAAACUCCAAACAAUAAACCCGGGCAGGUGGAGCUCGUCAGCCGUGGUAGGCAGUCUGCCUAGGAGAGCAAACUCCAAACAAUAAACCCGGGCAGGUGGAGCUCGUCAGCCGUGGUAGGCAGUCUGCCUAGGAGAGCAAACUCCGAACAAUAAACCCGGGCAGGUGGAGCUCGUCAGCCGUGGUAGGCAGUCUGCCUAGGAGAGCAAACUCCGAACAAUAAACCGGGGCUUGUGGUGCUCGUUAGAUGUCGUAGACAAUCCACGUGAUGGGAACACCAAAGAAAAGGAAAAUAAAAAGGAACACCAGAAAAAGGAAAAUAUAGUAACAAAACAUCAAGAAAAUAAAAUAAAAAAACACAGAUCAUCCACCUUCAGGCCCUAACAUCUCCAAAAUUAUGGGUGAGUCUUUUCUGGGGAGAAAGAGGCUCAUCCAGACCAAAGAACAUCAAAAAGGGAUGAUAUAGAAAGGAACACCAAAAAAAUGGGAAAAAGAGAAAAAAACAUCGCAAAAGAAAAGUAACAACAAUAACAGAACAACGUCAAGAAAAGUAACAUACAAAGAAACAUCAUCCACCAUUCGGCCCCAAACUAACAUCACCAAAAUUAUGGGUGGGUCUCUUCUGGGAGGAAAGCGGCUCACCCAGAUCAACGAAAAACAUCAACAAGAGGAUGAUAUGAAAUAAAAGAACAUCAAAAAACACGAAGAAAAGAAAUAAGAAGAAAAAGAACAGGAAAAACAUCGGAAAAGAAAAACAUGAAGAAAAACACAUCAAGAGAUGAAAAAUAUAAGAAACAUCAUCCACCUUUCGGCCCCUAACUAACAUCACCAAAAUUAUGGGUGGGUCUCUUCUGGGAGGAAAGCGGCUCACCCAGACCAAUGAACAUCAACAAGAGGAUGAUAUGAAAUAAAAGAACAUCAAAAAAGAAAAACAACAGCAAGAAAACAAAGAAA